rnacentral:miRNA from 1 species
UAUGCUGCUGCUGCUGCU